CGUACCUAAAGUCGGGUAACCGCAAGGAGCCGCCGUAGGUAAACGUAGUAACUGGGCU
rnacentral:rRNA from 1 species